CGAAAACUUUCAACAACGGAUCUCUUGGCUCUCGCAUCGAUGAAGAACGCAGCGAAAUGCGAUAAGUAGUGUGAAUUGCAGACUAGAGUGAAUCAUCGAGUUUUUGAACGCAUGUUGCGCUCUCUGGUAAUCCGGGGAGCAUGCUUGGCUGAGGGUCGGU
rnacentral:rRNA from 1 species